CCUACGGGUGGCAGCAGUGAGGAAUAUUGGUCAAUGGACGUAAGCCUGAACCAGCCAUGCCGCGUGCGGGAUGAAGGUUCUAUGGGUCGUAAACCGCUUUUAUACGGGAAUAAAGGGUGGGACGUGUCCUGGUCUGUAUGUACCUUAUGAAUAAGGAUCGGCUAACUCCGUGCCAGCAGCCGCGGUAAUACGGAGGAUUCGAGCGUUAUCCGGAUUUAUUGGGUUUAAAGGGUGCGUAGGCGGCCGUAUAAGUCAGCGGUGAAAUCCUGUGGCUCAACCUCAGAAUUGCCGUUGAAACUGGGAGGCUAGAGAGUGUUUGAGGCAGGCGGAAUGCGUGGUGUAGCGGUGAAAUGCUUAGAGAUCACGCAGAACCCCGAUUGCGAAGGCAGCCUGCCAAGCCAUGUCUGACGCUGAUGCACGAAAGCGUGGGGAUCAAACAGGAUUAGAUACCCGGGUAGUC
rnacentral:rRNA from 1 species